ensembl:lncRNA
AGCAGAGAUGAUUAAGCUAUGGAUCAUUGCUAUAUUAACUACAGUGUCUUCGCUGCAGACGGGUCUCAACUCACGCUCUGAUGGUACUACAAAUUACUCUCUAGAUGGUUCGACAACUAACCAUCCUGAUGGUACUACAAUUAACCUACCAAAUGGGACUACAACUAACCCUCCAGAUGCUACUACAACUAACCCUCCGGAUCGUACUACAACUAACCCUCCAGAUGGUGCUACUACUAACCCUCCAGAUGCUACUACAACUAACCCUCUAGAUGCUACUACAACUAACCCUCCAGAUGCUGCUACAACUAACCCUCCAGAUGCUACUACAACUAACCCUCCGGAUCGUACUACAACUAACCCUCCAGAUCGUACUACAACUAACCCUCCAGAUCAUACUACAACUAACCCUACAGAUGGUACUACAACUAACCCUCCAGAUGCUACUACAACUAACCCUCCAGAUGCUGCUACAACUAACCCUCCAGAUGCUACUACAACUAACCCUCCAGAUCGUACUACAACUAACCCUCCAGAUCGUACUACAACUAACCCUCCAGAUCAUACUACAACUAACCCUACAGAUAGUACUACUACUAGCCCUCCAGACAGUACCACAACUGUACCUCUAGCUGGUAAUACAACCAAGCUUCCAAAUGAUACUACAUCUAACCCUUCAGACAGCACUACAACUGAACCGUUAGCCAGUAAUACAACCAAGCUUCCAAAUGAUACUGUUACUGAAUCUGCAGCUGGUAAUACUACUAACCUUCCAGAUGAUACUACAACCGAAGCGUUAGCUAGUAGUACAACCAAGCUUCCAAAUUAUACUACUACUGACCCACCAGAUCAUCCUACCACAAACCUUCCCGAUGAGGCUACAACUGGACCUCCAGCUGGUAAUACAACCAAGCUUCCAAAUGAUACUACUAUUGACCCACCAGAUAAUAAUACUACAAACCUUCCAGAUGAUACUACAACUGAACCGUUAGCUAGUAGUACAACCAAGCUUCCAAAUGAUACUACUACUGACCCACCAGAUAGUAAUACUACUAACCUUCCAGAUGAUACUACAACUGAACCUGCAGCUGGUAAAACUACUAAGCUUCCAAAUUAUACUACUACUGACCCACCAGAUAGUAAUACUACUAACCUUCCAGAUGAUACUACAACUGAACCUACAGCUAGUAGUACAACCAAGCUUCCAAAUGAUACUACUACUGACCCACCAGUUAGUAAUACUACUAACCUUCCAGAUGAUACUACAACUGAACCGUUUGCUAGUAGUACAACCAAGCUUCCAAAUGAUACUACUACUGACCCACCAGAUAGUAAUACUACUAACCUUCCAGAUGAUACUACAACUGAACCUGCAGCUGGUAAUACAACCAAGCUUCCAAUUGAUACUACUACUGACUCACCAGAUGAUACCACAGCUUUUACUACUACCCCUUCAACUACUUCUACCUCUCCAACUAAAACGACUAGCAUUGAAUAUCCAACUACUCAUGCCACCCCACCA